AUGACUAGGGAUAACCUUAGGAAGAGACACAUCAUCAAACCCCUUGAUUGUGUUUACUGCUUGGAACAAGAGUCUUGUUCUCACCUAUUUUUUGAAUGUAUAGUUGCUAAACAUCUCUGGGCACACAUUGAGGAAUAUUUCUCUAGUCGGAUUGGCUCAUCCUUUGAAUCUGUCGUCGGAUUCUGGAUUGCUACCAAAAAGUGCUCAGUUUUAAACACUGUUAGCUCAGCUGUCCUUUGGUGCCUCUGGAAAUAUAGAAAUGCUAUGAUUUUCAGUAACACCUCCUGGAUUUCCAUUCCGCGGGUAUUGAGGUUGAUCAGGAACAUGGUGAGGAACUGGGCGAUUCUCUCCUCCGGAUCGGACAAGGACAAGUUGAUGAGCUUCGUGGAAACCCUAACAAGAUCCCUCCAGAAACCAUUGGCGAUCACUUGUGGCUGA
rnacentral:rRNA from 1 species